rnacentral:tRNA from 1 species
UCCUGUGUGGCUCAGUUGGUAGAGCAUGGCACUUGCAAUGCCGGGGUUUUGGGUUCAAUUCCCACGGGGGAC